AAUUCCUUCUACAUUUGAGAUAAAUAUAUAUGAUUUGGAAACUUCUUUUCUCAUUUAACUUGGAAAUGACUAUUAUGUGAUUAUAAUUUUUGCAUUUGUAGGAAAGUAUAUCUUUUAAAGUGGAGAAAAUUAUGCCUAUAUUUUUUUGCAUAUUUGAUGAAAUUUCUUCUCUUUCUUGGAUUUUAUAAGUUAAGUGAUAAAUAUGGUCAAGAGGUGCAAUACUCUUCUCAUGAUUAUUCUUUUGAGGAAUUUAUGUUAAAAAAAAAAAAAGAAAAAAAAGAAAAAAAAAAGAAAAAAAAGAGAUUUAUUCUACUCCAAUGAUUCUUGUACUUAGUAACCGGGAGUCUUCAUCUACAAAUGUCGACUUUCGCGUAAAACGGUACUUGAAUUAAGAGUAUGGAAAGCAACUUGAGUAUGUGAAGUGUUGAGUAACCGGUGAUCUUCAUCUAAAAAUGUCGAUUCUCGCGUCAAAAGACACUUUCACAACUUAAGUAAUAUUUAGCUACGUUAUAUGAAUAAAUAUCUGUUUAAGUAGAAUAAAAAGAUGAUCAUGAGUUUAGAAAGCAUUUUAUUGACCAUAUGAGUUACUUACUUGUAAGAUUGGUAAGGAUGAAAAAAUUGAUUUGAAUUUGUUAUAAUGACGGUAUAAUUGGCUCUCCUUUACUUGAUAUUAUGAGUACUUGAACUUAAUUGAAUAAUUGCAUAAUGGUUAUUUACUUUGUUUUGAGGAAAUGAAGUUGAAAUGCUACAUAUGUUUAUUUUCAAAUUUUGGAUCAUUGUUGGUUUGUAUUUUUAUUGCUUGAGGACAAGCAAUGAUUCAAGUGUGGGGGUAUUUGAUAAGAGUUUAUUUUACGUAUUUUUUAGUGUGUUUUAUUAGUUAAUUUUGGUUUGAUUAUUUAGUUUUAUAACUAGAAUAACUAAGGUUUUGGUAAAAAACUACAUUUUAUGUUAAAGUGGCUAAACAUUGCAUUUUAUGGAUUUUUAUGGUAAAAACUUCAUAUUUUGUAGGUUUAAUGAUUCAAUCAUCAAAUGAAGUGCAUUGAGAAUAUAUUUGGAUUAUUGAUGAUGGAUUAAAGUUGUGAAAAUAAAAUAUGAAGUGUAAAAGGAAGAAAUGCAAUUUGAGGACAAAAAUCAAGAAAAGUCAGCUUUCACAACUCAGACACAUUUUCGUAUUUUGACUAUAUCAGGAGCUACAAUGAUCGGAUCAAGGUGAUCUUGGUACCAUUUUGAAGCUAAGAGAUAUAUCUACAUUUGGUAUGAGACAUCAAAGUCCAAUUCAGCCGUUUUCUUGGUCAAAAGGUCGAAACACAGAAACUUAUCUGGAUGGUCGAAAGCUGAAGCCCAGAAUUGACCAGUCUAUGGUAUUUUGACCAUAUCUCAGUCCACCGAUCUCCAAAUUAGAUGAUUCUUGAAGCAUUGGAACUCUAAUUCAAAGGGCUACAACUUUUGUGUUUUGCACAAAAGCCAGUUCGGCCUUCAUCAUGGAGAAAAAUGCAGUUGAAGUGAGGUCAAAAGUAAAAACGUGUAUGGCAGCCGAAUUUCUGUAAUUUGCUCAGCCAUUUUUCUCAUCUUCACACUACUUUCCAGCUAGAGUUGGAGAGAAAACGUAGGCUGCACAUGCUUCAGAAGACAUAAGGAAGAGAUAUAGCCAAGGUUCCAAGUCAAAAGCCAUUAUUUUUGACUCCCUUAACAAAUCCAGAUUUGGAGAAUCAAAGUGGAGAGUCAUAGCAGAAAUUUAUGACUGGUAAGGGAAGGACUUUUCAUCAGCUUAUAUGUAGAGACAUUUGAGGUCUAUGAGGAGGGAGGAAUCAUACGGGGAGAAGCUUGAAGAGUGCAGAAAUGUAGUUCUUCCAUUUCCUUUGUGUAGGAUAGUUUAGCUAGUGUAGUUCAUCCAUUCUUGUAUAUUGCUAGACUAGGAUUAAGAUGGAGAUGAAAAAGGCAAGGUGAUGAGCUCAAGUGACAUGGGUUACAUUCCUUUCCAACUCUUUAUCUUUUGUACUUGAUUCCAAAUUUAGUUAAUAUGCAAGUUCUGGAAUUUAUGUCUAUUAUGUGUUUCUAAAGUUUAUGCCUUGGGUUUGGUUGAACUUUCUAUGAUUGUUAGUGUUUAUCAUUUGGCUAUUUAACUGCUAUGAUUUGAGCAAGUUAUUUAGCACUUUAGCUCUUUAAAUCAUGAUUAAUCUGGUACCAUUAAUUAUGAUUAUCUAAGGUGUUAUUUCUACAAUGAAAAUUGAGAUUUAACAUUAGUUCAAGAAGUGCUAAACAUAGGGAGUACACUCACGAAAGUAGAGGUGCACCUAUGUGGUUUUUAGUGAUUCAUUUCAUGUAAUUUCAUUGAAGAAAUGAACUUAUAACUAAUUUCAUAACCAUGAGAAUAGGUAUGGAUUAGUUAUAAGUAUAAUUGAUUCACUACGAAAGUAGGAUUCAAAUGCAUAAGGAAAUUACACCAUAAUUAGCCUAGAUGUAGUAUUCAAUGAUCCAAAUAUAGCACUUGCAUGAGUAGUUAGGGAUACCACAACCUAAGGAGCUUUCAUUUGUCAUUUUGUAUAAUUUCAGUAGGUUAAAUUUGUUAUAAUUUAUUGAUAGUCUAAAUAAUAGAGAAGCUUUAGUAAUACCGGUAAUUGUUCACUCUUCCCUGUGGGAUCGACCCGAUAUAUACCCUAAACUACUAGUUGAUCUGUAUACUUGCAGUGAACGGGUGUAAUUCGGUAUUUUUUAGCUUGCACGUAUGUAAAAUACCCGUCAAGUUUUUGGCGCCGUUGCCGGGGAAGAUUUGGCAAUAUCGGUGUGAAGAGCAACUUUAUUAAUUUAGACAAUUUUUCUUAUUUUUGUUGUUUUUGUUGUAUCUUGUGUGUUUUAUGUCAUUUUUUUGAGUCAAUUUUUAGUAUUAUUAUUUUUUUUUUCUGUUUUAGUUUGUGUCUUGGAAUCUAUCCUUCUUAACUAAUCUUGCUCUUAAGUUGUUUAAAAGCAAUUUUAGGUGAUGAGAAUGAUAGGUCAAUUUGGAGGACAAUGCUUGAGAAAUGGAAGAUUGGCAAUGGAUGGUUACCAAGUACAAAGCUCCUUCAACAGAGGUAACCAAGAAAUUACUGAAGGUAUGUCUUUUGAAGAUGGUUUAAGGUGCUUAAAGGCAAAAUUUGAUGUUAUGAUGGACACAAUUAUGCAUGAAAUUGAGCAAGGGAGGAAUGUUAAUGAUUUUAGUUCUUAUCAUGUGAUUUGUGACUUGUGUGGAGGUUAUCAUGCUACUAAUACAUGUAUGCAAGCACAAAAUGUGGAUUAUUAUGAUGAAUUAGAGCAUUACAAUCCUUGUUUUGAUCAAUAUAGUGCUAAUUGGAACAAUUCUCCUGUGUAUGGUUGGGAUAAUCAAUGUACUUAUAAUAAUUCCUCAUAUUUUUACGAUUACCAACCUGAAUGUGUCCAAUAUGAAUCAAAACCAUCUUGGGAGUUGGCAAUUGAAAUGGUAGCUAAUGAUUCUAAGCCAUCUUGGGAGUUAGCUUUAGAAAAAUUAGCUAAUGCAACUUCCAACCGUUUUGAUAGGAUUGAGGAAAGAAUAGAUGAAUUAACUUCUCACUUUGUCAGAAUAAAUGAGCAAUUGAAUGCAUUGUGUGAGGUUAUUUCUUCUAAUAAAUUACAAAAUGAUCCUAGCAUGAAUGGUAGGAAUGUUGUAUGUGAAAAUGGAUUGCAUGUUGAUGAAAAUGAUGAAUCUCAAUUGUGUUUCAAUGAGCAAAUAUCCAUUUCACAUGAUAAUAUCUUUGGAACUAACUUUGAGCCUCAAGAGGUGAGCUUUAAUGACUCAUUUUUCACCCCUCUUGAGGAGUGCAUUGAAAGUAUAGGUUCUAAGGGUAUUGCUGCCCAAGAUACUCUCAUGGCAUCCCAGUUGGUAAGUUCUCAAGUGGUGUAUUUUCAAGAUAAUAUUUAUGAAACACUUGGAAUAGGUAAGCCACUUCCAUCUCUCACAUCAUUAGAAUAUGUGGCUUUCGCGAUAAAGCCACCUUUUAAUGAUCCACCACGACCUAAAAUGGUGGAUUAUUCGUUAACUAAACCUCCUUGAAAAAUGAGGUUCAAUAGUCGAGCCAACGACUAUAAAUAAAAGCGCUUAUUGGGAGGCAACCCAAUGUUUUGGCUAUUUAUGUUAUUUUGGUGUGAUUUUAUGUUUAAAGUAUGUGUUUGAGUUAUUGUGUUAUUUUUCAUUUGUAGGUAUUGGAAAUGGAAGCAAAAGUGACCAAAUGAGGUUAAAAAGGCGAAAUUUGAUCAAGGAACUCAACCCCUCGAUUUGAGUAAUUGUUGUUUUUGAUCCGUUAAAAGGGGCUAAAAUGCAUGUUUUUAAUGUUUUACAUGUGUGCACAUUGAUAAAUUUUACAAACAAAUGAUUUAUGAUGCAUUUUGAGAAAUUGGGGUAUUAUUUGUAAUUAUUCAAAAGUUGAAUUUCUGCUAAAUUUUGCAGCAGAAAACGCGUUUUUCAAAGAAACGCGCCACUAAAUCGCGUUUUCAUAGAAUCGCGUUUUCAAAUCUGCGCCUAUAAUGAAUAAAACGCGCCUCAAAACGCGACAGCAAGUCGCGUUUUCUACAAAUUCGCGUUUUCCAGCCUGAUCAAAAAUUGAAAACGCGACUUUAAAUACGCGACUCCAAGUCGCGUUUUUAAGCAUAGUCGCGUUUUCGAUCCUGCAAGAUAUGUGAAGAAACGCGACUUCACAAAACGCGGCUUGGUGGCGCGUUUUGAUGAGUCACGUUUUCUGAGCGAAAAAAAAAAAAAAUGCAGUUUCCUUGAUUCUCUUUUUUCUUCUUUUCCUCAUAUAUUUUCUUGUACCUUGAGUUGCUUAUUGUGUAUUUUAUAUAGGUACAUCACCAAAACAAAGGUUGAAAUUACGGAUCGCCGUUUUGUUUUAUUAAGUCUUUGUUAUCACUUUUGUUUCUCAUUUUCCAUUUUUAGGUUAUAUCACUAAUGGUUACCAAAUGGAACUCAUGAAGCGAUGAAGACAAGCGAACAACAUACCUUGAAGUUUCAUAUUCAAUCACAACAAUAGGGGAGUAUUAUUUUUUUUAUCUUGAUUUUCCUUCUUACACAUUGAGGACAAUGUGUAUGUUAAGUGUGGGGGGAAGAAUUGAGAUUAUAUACAUUGUAUGUGAUUGACUUAUUAGUUGCAAAUAUUAGACUUGUGUUAAAAUUCAAAAUUUUUCUAAAAUCUUGUCCAAAAUUGCAAACUUGCCCCAAAAAUAUUUAAAUUUUAUCCAAGGGGUAACAAAGUUCCAUACCAUUAGUAGUUCAAAUUCCUUCUACAUUUGAGAUAAAUAUAUAUGAUUUGGAAACUUCUUUUCUCAUUUAACUUGGAAAUGACUAUUAUGUGAUUAUAAUUUUUGCAUUUGUAGGAAAGUAUAUCUUUUAAAGUGGAGAAAAUUGUGUUAAAAUUCAAAAUUUUUCUAAAAUCUUGUCCAAAAUUGCAAACUUGCCCCAAAAAUAUUUAAAUUUUAUCCAAGGGGUAACAAAGUUCCAUACCAUUAGUAGUUCAAAUUCCUUCUACAUUUGAGAUAAAUAUAUAUGAUUUGGAAACUUCUUUUCUCAUUUAACUUGGAAAUGACUAUUAUGUGAUUAUAAUUUUUGCAUUUGUAGGAAAGUAUAUCUUUUAAAGUGGAGAAAAUUAUGCCUAUAUUUUUUUGCAUAUUUGAUGAAAUUUCUUCUCUUUCUUGGAUUUUAUAAGUUAAGUGAUAAAUAUGGUCAAGAGGUGCAAUACUCUUCUCAUGAUUAUUCUUUUGAGGAAUUUAUGUUAAAAAAAAAAAAAAAAAAAAAAAAAA
rnacentral:lncRNA from 1 species